AUGUAAUUAAAAAAAAUUUUUUUUAAAAAUGGGGCGUGGCCUAACUCUUGGCGUGGACAGACGCAUGUGAGCGAAGCUCCGUUCUACACCGGCCUAAAAAACGACAAAAAUCAGCGUGAGUGACCAGCAAAUCCUCUAGAACGAACACCCAGACAUGGCUCAACACAAGGUGAAGAGAAACCCCGAAAAACCUGAAAAAAACAGGUUCUUUACG